GGCGGCACUAGCGCGGUGGUCCCACCUGACCCCAUGCCGAACUCAGAAGUGAAACGCCGUAGCGCCGAUGGUAGUGUAGGGUCUCCCCAUGCGAGAGUAGGGAACUGCCAGGC
rnacentral:rRNA from 1 species